CAUCAGCCAACAUAGAGAAACAAAACGUGAGGGAGAGAAAUAGAGAGGCAGCCAUGGUUCUUGAAGUUUAAAGGUUUACAUGUAUCUGCUCGAAAAAUGGUGAUGAAGCGUAGAGGAGGUACUGCUCAGAUUUGGUUUUGGAAAUUCUACACGGACAGCUGUUCGGAAGACGACGAGACGAGCAGGAUGAAGGGUAGCUCCCAAAAGGUAU